AGUGGGCGUGCAGGAGAAGCUGUAGGUCAGGAGGUAGAGUUGGCAGUGGGCGUGCAGGAGAAGCUGUAGGUCGGAGAGGUAGAGGUGGCAGUGGGCGUGCAGGAGAAGCUGUAGGUCAGGGGGUAGAGGUGGCAGUGGGCGUGCAGGAGAAGCUGUAGGUCAGAGUGGAUAGGUGGCAGUGGGCGUGCAGGAGAAGCUGUAGGUCAGGAGGUAGAGGUGGCAGUGGGCGUGCAGGAGAAGCUGUAGGUCAGGAGGUAGAGGUGGCAGUGGGCGUGCAGGAGAAGCUGUAGGUCAGGAGGUAGAGUUGGCAGUGGGCGUGCAGGAGAAGCUGUAGGUCGGAGAGGUAGAGGUGGCAGUGGGCGUGCAGGAGAAGCUGUAGGUCGGGAGGUAGAGGUGGCAGUGGGCGUGCAGGAGAAGCUGUAGGUCAGAGUGGAGAGGUGGCAGUGGGCGUGCAGGAGAAGGUGUAGGUCAGGGGGUAGAGGUGGCAGUGGGCGUGCAGGAGAAGCUGUAGGUCGGGAGGUAGAGGUGGCAGUGGGCGUGCAGGAGAAGCUGUAGGUCAGGGGGUAGAGGUGGCAGUGGGCGUGCAGGAGAAGCUGUAGGUC
rnacentral:lncRNA from 1 species